AUGUCGGAUUUCAUUGUCUGGAGCUAUACAAAAAAUGGUGUAUUCACUGUUCGAUCAGUUUAUUUGGAGGAAUGGAACCAACAACACGGGAGGAAAUUGCAAUAUACUAAUGGUAAUCGAAUCAAUGUCAAUCCUAUUUGGGGUAAGAUUUGGAAAUUAUUGUGUCCGGCAAAGGUAAAAAUAUUUAUUUGGCGAACGUUGCAUGGAAUUCUACCGUGUCGUGUUACGCUUGCCAAUAGACAUAUGAAUGUUUCGCCCGUUUGUCCUUCAUGCUCGAAUGGACAAGAAGAUACAAAACACAUCUUUUUUCUGUGUCAGAAGGCAAAAGAGGUUUGGGGUAAGCUGGGGAUGUACGAGGUAAUUAAGAAAGCUUGUGUUAUUGAUCGUGCGGGUGAGGCGGUUCUUGAAUUCUUACUUCUUAUGUCGCACCAAGAACUACCUAUAUUAGGUUGCCAGAAUGCACAUGAAUUAAUUGCGAUAACCGCUUGGUAUUUAUGGUGGGAGAGACGCAUGUUGGUUCAUGAAGGAAAGUCUCAAGAUGUCAACCAGAUUUCGAUGGGGGUUCCUGCUAUAACGGCAAACUAUGUGAAUGCCCACUCCCCUAGUGCGACUAGUAGAAAAGAAGGAUGGAGCCGACCUCCCGUGGGUGUUGUUAAAUUAAAUGUUGAUGCUUCUUUUGACCAUGAUCUGCUCAGGGGCACUGCAGGUGUUGUAUUCAGAGAUGAUAAAUGA
rnacentral:rRNA from 1 species